rnacentral:tRNA from 1 species
GGUGGUGUGGUGUAAUGGUAGCACGUAACGUUGUGGUUCCCUCACGCAGAUUCCGUUUCAAUCUGGGUUCGAUUCCCAGCACCGCCA